AGAGUUUGAUCAUGGCUCAGGACGAACGCUGGCGGCGUGCUUAACACAUGCAAGUCGAGCGGAAAGGCCCUUCGGGGUACUCGAGCGGCGAACGGGUGAGUAACACGUGAGUAACCUGUCCUUGGCUUCGGGAUAACCCUCGGAAACGGGGGCUAAUACCGGAUAGGACCUGGCCCUGCAUGGGGUUGGGUGGAAAGUUUUUUCGGCUAGGGGUGGGCUCGCGGCCUAUCAGCUUGUUGGUGGGGUGAUGGCCUACCAAGGCGACGACGGGUAGCCGGCCUGAGAGGGCGACCGGCCACACUGGGACUGAGACACGGCCCAGACUCCUACGGGAGGCAGCAGUGGGGAAUAUUGCACAAUGGGCGGAAGCCUGAUGCAGCGACGCCGCGUGAGGGAUGACGGCCUUCGGGUUGUAAACCUCUUUCAGCAGGGACGAAGCGUGAGUGACGGUACCUGCAGAAGAAGCGCCGGCCAACUACGUGCCAGCAGCCGCGGUAAGACGUAGGGCGCGAGCGUUGUCCGGAUUUAUUGGGCGUAAAGAGCUCGUAGGCGGCUUGUUGCGUCGACCGUGAAAACCCGGGGCUCAACUUCGGGCUUGCGGUCGAUACGGGCGGGCUAGAGUUCGGUAGGGGAGACUGGAAUUCCUGGUGUAGCGGUGAAAUGCGCAGAUAUCAGGAGGAACACCGGUGGCGAAGGCGGGUCUCUGGGCCGAUACUGACGCUGAGGAGCGAAAGCGUGGGGAGCGAACAGGAUUAGAUACCCUGGUAGUCCACGCUGUAAACGUUGGGCGCUAGGUGUGGGGGGCCUCUCCGGUUCCCUGUGCCGCAGCUAACGCAUUAAGCGCCCCGCCUGGGGGAGUACGGCCGCAAGGCUAAAACUCAAAUGAAUUGACGG
rnacentral:rRNA from 1 species